GACUGUACAUGCUAGUCAAAGCCGAGGAGGUCACAUCUUUGCCACACUGAGUUGCAUCCUCUCCAGGCUCUGUACAGAUGUGAAUGCAAAAGCACAGCAAGUCAUCACUUUGGCUCCCCUGUGAUCUUUUAACAGCCAUUUUCUACAACAUGAUUCAGUAAAGUUUCAAUAGGGUACAAAACAUUAGGAGUAGGGCUGUUGUUUAUGAGAGUUUGAGAAUGUUUUUUGAAACAGAAAAGACCGAAGUGUAAUAUCCAGAUGAUUAAGUGCACCCAUUUGCAGGGCAGCAUGUUCAGCUGGACUCUCAAGCUUCAUUCCUUUGUAUCAUUAGUUGUGGAUGGUCCUUUGGGGCUAAGAUCGGGUGCUGUCCCCCAGCAAGAACAACUCAGCAAGGAGGAGGAUGGUGGGGACCCUUGCAAGGUCAGGGAGAGGCAGCUGGCAACACUGGGAGCAGGCUGGAGGGGGGCAUACCUGCUCUUGUGUCCUGCAGAUGUUCUGAUCUCCCUUGUCUUCAGCUGAAGUGGAGGAAGGACUAAAAAGGGGUGAAUUUCAUCCUUCUAUUUCACACCAAAAUGAUUGAUGUCUCAAUAUGGUUUAGCACAUAGUUUCUGUAAUUCCUGGGUUUUGAGAAGAUUGCUGGGGCCAAGGGGAGUGGGGCACUCAGAGAAGCUUGCCUUCAAACCUGAUGUGUCACAUGCACUGUGAGCGCUGUGGUCUCAGGGAAACUGUGUGCAUGGCUGGGGGAUUCCCUUCCAGGCAUGACCCACCUCCCUUGCUCACCUUCCCCAACAUACUCCCCAUUUAGCUAAGUUUGAGGCAUGAUUUGUUGAGUUCUAGCUUUUGGACAUUAUCCCAGAGCCUUUCAUUCCUUCAGUGUCAGCUCAACUGUGUCUCCUUUUCAGCAUCGUGCUGUGAGUCAUGGUAGGCACCAGCGACCAGGGCAGACUCCUCUCAGCAGCCCCCCUUCCAAAUAGGUGUUAGGUGGAAGGUAACUCUGCAAGAGGAAGGUAGGAAACAGCAGGUGACAGCCUCAUGAAUUGGUCUCUCCAGCAUCAGUGCUCAGUGGGUAACAAAUGGGAAUGCAUCCGCACCAGGUAUGACUCCCUGCCAUGCCUUGCUGCACAGCCUUGCUGCUGCUGAGACCCUCCUCUCCCUCUGCAUUGCACAGACAUCAUCCCAGAGUGUGCUUGGGCCCUUGCAAUUGCUGUACUCUGGGACUGCACUAUCACAAACUCUACACAUAAAAGCCUCAGAUCCAGAGAAGCACCCAGAGACAAAACUGAAGACUCCAAAGAACAGUCUACGAGAAACACCACAAGAGCUUGCACAAGGUUGAGAAUGAAUCCAGCAGUAUGUACACAGUCUCUGGUCUUUACAGAGAGCUGUGGUGUUCGCUCAACACCAGUUUUGCAAAGCCCAGACAAGUGUACAGUGUUCCUAUGGAGGAGCGCAUGGAUGGCCUGUGCGCUGAGUUCAGUACUCUCUAUGGUGGAGGCUGCAGCUAAAAGAAGAGUGUUUCAGCAAAAAUCAUGACAAGCCAGGGUGCACUCAGCCAGACUUUCCUAUGCAUCUGUAGGGGCUAUUAACCCUCUGUGGGAAGAGAAGACACCACUAACAACUUCCACAGAAGAAAGAAAAGAUGGACUCCAUUAUUUAAUUGCCAACUGAGAACAGGCUGUUGGAAGCUGAUGGGUUGGACAGCGUCAGGAGGGCAGAGGACAGCAAUGCAGUCACUAAAACUCAUUACACAUUUUGGAGAGCUCUGAGACAAAGGACCUGAAUCAGAGGUGGCUGUAAACUGUUUGUGUAGAGGCUGGACUAUCUCACAACAUCUUUCAGGCUGCCAUACAGGCUAUAUCUUGCUUGAGAAGGAGAGAUUGCAGGGAGGUAGCCUGUUACGGGCUGUAAUAUUGUAGUUCAAAGCAGUAGCUGUUCAUGUGAGUUGGUGCUAACAGCUUCAUGAAAGGUCACAGAUGCCUCUGCCCUACACAAAAUUCCAUCCUCGCUUCAUUAUUUGCUCUUUUUACUACAGACUCCUCUGAGCUGUAAGCCCCCACGCAGAGCUCUGCUCGGGAAAACCGCCGAGAGCAGCUCCCUGGAGAUGUGUGCUGUGUGUCUGCAACAGAGAGGAGGGAAAUGAGACCAGCCAGGGAGCAGCUGCGGAAGAAUGGAGGGAAAUGGCCUUCGGGUAGAUAUUUGGAUGAGAAGGAAAUGCCAAGCCCUAAGCCCAUCAACGGGACAGUGCAGGUAAAACAGGGAGCCCUCUCAAGGUGCGAGAGCCCUCCAGGGCCUGCUCAGCACCAUAUUCUCCUGCAAGGGGAUAGGAGCUCGUUGCUUGAGACCCCAUGAAACAGCCCGACAGAUCCCAUCCAGGGGAGAAGAGGCAGCGAGAUGCAGCACCUUGUUGCUCAGAUCACUCAGGUACAGACCAGGCAAACCUGCACUGGCUUUUUAAUCAUCACUGCUUACAGAAGGAAUCUGCUGCUAUGAGGAAAAUAAAAACAAAAACUCUAUGCUCCAGUUGGCCAUCUUGUUUUGCAUUUAGUAGGUGAUUUCACAGAGCUCACAGUAUUUGCACUGUAGUCCUGAUGAGUUUAUAAUGGAGACAUUUUUGAAGAAAUAAUUGCUUGAAUAGGACUACGUGAGGAACUUCAGGACAUGCAAGCCCUUCUUUAAGUUACAGCUAAUGACAGUAGUCCUUAGCUGGCAUCAAAACAUGCAAGUAUGCAAGCUCCAUGGCUGGAUUUGUGAAUAAAAAGAGUGGCUGCUCUUCUGAGAUGUGGUUGUUGCUGUGGAAGAAGAAAUUUGGGGAACUGCUCACCCUACUGCCCUGUCUUUCCCCACUAGGUGAUGAGGGCAAAUCCCUCCUCCAAGGUUUGGUGUUCAUGAAUAAACAGUUAAACAUUGAGUAGCUCCUCCUUUUCUUGACUCAAGAGCUAUCCACGCAGCCUGCGUUAGCAGGUGGCUGGAUAGCAGCUGGCAGGCAAAAGGCCAAACGAGGUUCCAGGAGAAAUGAAUCUAGCUCUCACAUUUGGUACCUUCCUCCAGAAGAUAGCUACCAGUGCAGGUUUAGGUAGAACAGGAAUGUGGAGGAACCAUGCAGCCAAGUGUACUUAUACCUCCCAGGAUCCAUGAAUGUGGCUGAAAGAACCCUCAUCUGAUAGGAAAGGACUCUUCAGAAACCCAGAGCAGACCUAGUUGAUAGCUCAGAUGUGCUCCAAAAAUCAAGCCCCGGGGUUCAAAUGGGAAACACUCAUGACAUGAAUGGAGUCAAGUCAGGAAGAGCCUUCAGACCAAAAGCAGGCUAUCAUGAAUGAGUUAAAAUUCUUUCGUUUGCUUCAUGAAAUUUAUUGAAAACUACACUGUUCAUCUGCUGAAACUUCACAGCUGUUAAGAUUGCCCUCAGGGCAAACCACAUCCAAGAAAUGGCAUGCAGAUCUUGGGAGCACAAGACUUGAAAGCUGAAACUUCACUCUGUAGUGCUGCCUUUGGUUACCUUGCAGUCACGUCUAACCAUCUGUUUUUCAGUUAGACGAUGCUUUUUUUUUUU